rnacentral:rRNA from 1 species
GACGUAGGGCGCGAGCGUUGUCCGGAUUUAUUGGGCGUAAAGAGCUCGUAGGCGGCUUGUUGCGUCGACUGUGAAAACCCGCGGCUCAACCGCGUGGCUUGCAGUCGAUACGGGCAGGCUAGAAUUCGGUAGGGGAGACUGGAAUUCCCGGUGUAGCGGUGAAAUGCGUAGAGAUCGGGAGGAACACCAGAGGCGAAAGCGGCGACCUGGAGAAGUACUGACACUCAACUACGAAAGCGUGGGGAGCAAACAGG